GAUGAAGAACGUAGCGAAAUGCGAUAAGUAGUGUGAAUUGCAGAAUUCAGUGAAUCAUCGAAUCUUUGAACGCACAUUGCGCCCUUUGGUAUUCCGGGGGGCAUGCCUGUUCGAGCGUCAUUAUAACCACUCAAGCUCUCGCUUGGUAUUGGGGUUCGCGGUUUCGCGGCCCCUAAAAUCAGUGGCGGUGCCUGUCGGCUCUACGCGUAGUAAUACUUCUCGCGAUUGAGUCCGAUAGGUCUACUUGCCAGUAACCCCCAAUUUUUACAGGUUGACCUCGGAUCAGGUAGGGAUACCCGCUGAACUUAAGCAUAUCAAUAAGCGGAGGA
rnacentral:misc_RNA from 1 species